GAGAUUUUUCAAGUAGCAAUUCCUAGCCAAUAACUCUAUUAGAAAAGCCUAUCAUGUUAUGUCUUCGGUGCCUGCGCCCUCCCGUUCGCCAGUUCUAUCCUCAGACACCAGGACAUCU